rnacentral:rRNA from 1 species
UGUAAACGAUGUCGAUUUGGAGCUUGGGGGCAUGACCCUUGGGCUCCGGAGCUAACGCGUUAAAUCGACCGCUGGGGAGUACGGCCGCAAGGUUAAAACUCAAAUGAAUUGACGGGGGCCCGCACAGCGGUGGAGCAUGUGGUUUAAUUCGAUGCAACGCGAAGAACCUUACCUGGUCUUGACAUCCAUAGAAUCUUCAGAGAUGAGAGAGUGCCUUCGGGAGCUAUGAGACAGGUGCUGCAUGGCUGUCGUCAGCUCGUGUUGUGAAAUGUUGGGUUAAGUCCCGCAACGAGCGCAACCCCUAUCCUUUGUUGCCAGCACGUAAUGGUGGGAACUCAAAGGAGACUGCCGUUGAUAAAGCGGAGGAAGGUGGGGACGACGUCAAGUCAUCAUGGCCCUUACGACCAGGGCUACACACGUGCUACAAUGGCGUAUACAAAGGGAUGCGAAGGUGCGAACUGGAGCGGACCUCACAAAGUACGUCUAAGUCCGGAUUGGAGUCUGCAACUCGACUCCAUGAAGUCGGAAUCGCUAGUAAUCGUGAAUCAGAAUGUCACGGUGAAUACGUUCCCGGGCCUUGUACACACCGCCCGUCACACCAUGGGAGUGGGUUGCACCAGAAGUAGAUAGCUUAACCUUCGGGAGGGCGUUUACCACGGUGUGGUUCAUGACUGGGGUGAAGUCGUAACAAGGUAACCA